rnacentral:lncRNA from 1 species
UCCGACCCACAAGAAUCAAACGUGGACUCAUCCGAGACCGACACGUCACUCACAGAAUGCCUAUGACUUUCAACAACAGCCAACAUCAUUGGUGAAAACCCAGACAGAAAAUCUCAGUGGAGAAGAAGAAGAGGAAGAAGAAGAAGAAGAAGAAGAAGAAGAAGAAGAGCAUUUGGGGUUUUGAAGAGAAUAAUGUGGGUGGGGUUAAGGAGUAGGUGGCAUUUGGUUUCUGUGUUUUAAUGUUAAAAAUCAAUGUCUCUGUGUCUAA